CUGGGUGGCUUCGGCCUAAACCCCCAACCAUUGUGAACGAUUCCAGCGGCUUAGCUGGUGGCGGUGAAUAACUGCCCUGGCGGCACGCGAGACUCUUCUAAUGUUAUCUCUGAGUUUUUAUAGUUUCUGAUGUUAAAUAAGAUCA
rnacentral:misc_RNA from 1 species